GGAGAUGUAGCUUGGUGGUACAGCGCCUGCCUGGCAAGUGCAAGGUCCUGAGUUCAAUUCUCAGUAUCCACA
rnacentral:tRNA from 1 species